rnacentral:rRNA from 1 species
UCCGUAGGGUGCAAGCGUUGUCCGGGAUUAUUGGGCGUAAAGAGCUCGUAGGCGGUUUGUCGCGUCGGGAGUGAAAUCCACUGGCUUAACUGGUGGCUUGCUUUCGAUACGGGCAGACUGGAGGUAUGCAGGGGAGAACGGAAUUCCUGGUGUAGCGGUGAAAUGCGCAGAUAUCAGGAGGAACACCGGUGGCGAAGGCGGUUCUCUGGGCAUGUCCUGACGCUGAGGAGCGAAAGUGUGGGGAGCGAACAGG